AAGGGUGUUAUUACUGUGGAUUUUUAC
rnacentral:sRNA from 1 species